rnacentral:rRNA from 1 species
UACGUAGGGGGGCUAGCGUUGUCCGGAUUUAUUGGGCGUAAAGAGCGUGUAGGCGGCCGUACAGGUCAGCUGUGAAAACUCGAGGCUCAACCUCGAGACGUCGGUUGAAACCGUACGGCUAGAGUCCGGAAGAGGAGAGUGGAAUUCCCGGUGUAGCGGUGAAAUGCGCAGAUAUCGGGAAGAACACCCGUGGCGAAGGCGGCUCUCUGGGACGGUACUGACGCUGAGACGCGAAAGCGUGGGGAGCAAACAGG